rnacentral:rRNA from 1 species
AUGGCGGCGGCUGCUCUCCCCGCGCUCUGCACUGCUCCCAAACCCCUGGCCUUAUCGUUGCCUCGCUCCACACCGAUCAACCUCCGCCGCUCAAAGAUGGUAGGCAGCCCCGCCCGUUCCGUGAAGGCAGCGACCACCACGUCGACGCCAGUCGAGGAGGAAGCAGCUGCUGGGGUCGACGGCGGCGGCACAAAGCUGUCUGCUUGGACAAGCGUCCGGCAAGAGCGCUGGGAAGGCGAGUUGGCCGUCGAGGGAGAUCUCCCACUCUGGCUGAACGGCACGUACCUGAGGAACGGCCCAGGGGUGUGGGACGCCGGCGACGUCGCGUUCCACCACCUGUUCGACGGCUACGCGACACUCGUCCGCGUCUCCUUCUCGCAUGGCCAUGCCACCGGCGCGCACCGGCAGAUAGAGUCGGACGCGUACAUGGCCGCCAAGAAGCAUGGCCGGCCAGUGCUGCGUGAGUUUUCCCAGUGCCCCGAGCCCGGGACCCUGAUCGACCGCGUGCGCGACGCCGUGGGGCUCCUCAGCGGCGCGGCCCUCACCGACAACCCCAACAGCGCCGUGCUGCCGCUCGGCGACGGCCGGGUCAUGUGCCUCACCGAGACCACCAAGAGCUCCGUCCUGAUAGACCCGCACACGCUCGACACGGUCGGCAAGUUCAAGUUCACGGGAAAAGUCGGCGCCAAUGCGAUGAUACAGUCGGCGCACCCGAUUGUGACCGAGUCCGAGUUCUUGACGCUGCUCCCUGACCUUGUCCGGCCAGGCCACCUUUUGGUGAGGAUGGAGGCUGGGAGCAACGAGAGGAAGGUCGUAGGGAGGGUGGACUGCCGGGGUGGGCCGACGCCGGGAUGGAUGCACUCCUUUGCCGUGACGGAGAAGUAUGUCGUGGUGCCCGAGAUGCAGCUCCGGUACUCGUCGACCAGCCUGCUCAAGUCCGAACUCGCCCGGUUCUACGCCUUCGACUGGCUUCCUGCGUCCGGGAGCUACAUGCACGUCAUGUGCAGGUCCACCGGCAAGACUGUGGCGAGCGUUGAGGUGCCACCUUUCAUGGCAAUCCACUUCAUCAAUGCGUACGAGGAGGUAGGCGAGGAAGGCCAGGCAACUCAGGUCAUCGUCGAUUGCUGCGAGCACUACGGUGACCCUGCAAUCAUCGAGACGCUUGUCCUCCAGGGACUGAGGUCGUUCAGGGGCACGGACACGCUGCCUGACGCCAGAGUCGGCCAGUUCAGGAUACCACUGGACGGCAGCCCGUCCGGCGAGCUCCAGACGGCGCUGGACCCUGAGGAGCAUGGCCGAGGGAUGGACAUGUGCAACAUCAACAGGGCGCGCCUCGGGAAGAAGUACCGCUAUGCUUACGCCUGCGGCGCACGCCGGCCUUGCAACUUCCCCAACACGCUCACCAAGAUCGACCUGGUGCUGCGGAAGGCCAUGAGCUGGCACGAGGAGGGCGCCGUGCCAUCAGAGCCCUUCUUCGUGGCAAGGCCCGGGGCAACCGACGAAGACGACGGAGUGGUCAUGUCUAUCGUCAGCGCCGAGGAUGGUGGAGGUUUCAUGGUGGUGCUCCACGCGGCCACGUUCAAAGAGAUUGCGCGCGUCAGGUUCCCAUAUGGGCUACCCUACGGUUUCCACGGAUGCUGGAUUCCAGCCAAGAACUGA